rnacentral:rRNA from 1 species
CAACUUGAGAGUUUGAUCCUGGCUCAGAACGAACGCUGGCGGCAGGCUUAACACAUGCAAGUCGAACGCCCCGCAAGGGGAGUGGCAGACGGGUGAGUAACACGUGGGAACGUCCCCCUCGGUUCG